rnacentral:rRNA from 1 species
GACGAACGCUGGCGGCGUGCCUAAUACAUGCAAGUCGAGCGAACAGACGAGGAGUUUGCUCCUCUGACGUUAGCGGCGGACGGGUGAGUCACACGUGGAUAACCUACCUAUAAGACUGGGAUAACUUCGGGAAACCGGAUCUAAUACCGGAUAAUAUAUUGCACCGCAUGGUUCAAUAGUGAAAGACGGUUUUGCUGUCACUUAUAGCUGGAUCCGCGCCUCAUGAGCUAGUUGGUAAGGUAACGGCUUACCAAGGCUGUGAUGGGUAGACGACCUGAGCGGGUGGUCGGCCACACGGGAAGUGAGAAGCGGUCCAGACUCCUGCGGGAGGCAACAGUAGGGAAUCUUCCGCAAUGGGGGAAAGCCGGACAGAGCAACGCGGCGUAAGGGAUGAAGGACCUCGGAUCGGAAAGCUCUGUUAUUAGGGGGGAACAAAUGUGUAAUUAACUGUGCAGGUCUUGACGGUACCGAGUCAGAAAGCCACGGCUAACUACGUG